GUCGCCUUCGAGGCCGUGUUGAUAUUUUUUUCCUCCUAUUUUUUUUUCCUCCUCUCUCCUCUAAUUGCUCAGAGUGGGCCGUGUCCCCCUCUUCCCACUCCCCCGGGGAAGAUCCCCCCACUUCUGCGCAGAUGUCUGUGACUCACCCAGCCUCGCACACAGAUACACACACUCCCUUUCGGGCUGCCCGCGCGCCACAACUAUAGCUCGCGCCUCCGGAGGCUGCUCAACGACCUGGACACCGGGGCCGCCAGGACUCAGCGCUCGGCCUGGGCGCUUGGCUGCCCGGAAGCCUCUGCAGCUGCCGGACCCACCCCUGCCAGUUCUCAAUUCUGAGAGCAGGGGAAGAGCGGUUGCCCCACCAGCCCCUUCUGUGCCACUGGGCAAGGGCCGAAAUCUCUCUUGCAGAGAAACCCCAGUUUCAAUAAUUGUUCAGCUCACCUUACAAUUGCACUGUUUGGUUAAGGCUUUGCUGUUCUAGAGUGGUUGCUCAGUUGGCCCGACUGGCUUAUGAUUAGAAUUCUUUCAAUUGAAAAAUUGAAAAAUAAAUCCUACUCCAAAUGUC